rnacentral:rRNA from 1 species
GGAUUGAGAGCUUGCUCUCAAGAAGUUAGCGGCGGACGGGUGAGUAACACGUGGGUAACCUGCCCAUAAGACUGGGAUAACUCCGGGAAACCGGGGCUAAUACCGGAUAACAUUUUGAACUGCAUGGUUCGAAAUUGAAAGGCGGCUUCGGCUGUCACUUAUGGAUGGACCCGCGUCGCAUUAGCUAGUUGGUGAGGUAACGGCUCACCAAGGCAACGAUGCGUAGCCGACCUGAGAGGGUGAUCGGCCACACUGGGACUGAGACACGGCCCAGACUCCUACGGGAGGCAGCAGUAGGGAAUCUUCCGCAAUGGACGAAAGUCUGACGGAGCAACGCCGCGUGAGUGAUGAAGGCUUUCGGGUCGUAAACUCUGUUGUUAGGGAAGAACAAGUGCUAGUUGAAUAAGCUGGCACCUUGACGGUACCUAACCAGAAAGCCACGGCUAACUACGUGCCAGCAGCCGCGGUAAUACGUAGGUGGCAAGCGUUAUCCGGAAUUAUUGGGCGUAAAGCGCGCGCAGGUGGUUUCUUAAGUCUGAUGUGAAAGCCCCGGCUCACCGUGGAGGUCAUUGGAAACUGGGAGACUUGAGUGCAGAAAGGAAAGUGGAUUCCAUGUGUAGCGGUGAAUGCGUAGAGAUAUGGAGGAACACCAGUGGCGAAGGCGACUUUCUGGUCUGUAACUGACCUGAGGCGCGAAGCGUGGGGAGCAACAGGAUAGAUACCUGGUAGUCCCGCCGUAACGAUGAUGCUA